CACAGUUAACCGCGAUUUUUGAUAAUGUCACUGCGUCUAUCUUCUAGGUCAUCAAAAUCACAAAUGCUACUAUUUACUUUGCUAUAGUGUUCAUUCAAACACAAAUUACACCACUUAUUUCCUACUGGGUAGUUGGUAAAAGCCCCGAGUAUUAAAUUCUCAUAACACUUCAGUCCGCUGCAGCACAAUUUCAGUUGCCAUAAACAUUUCUGCGUUGGUGGCGGUAUGUUUGGAAUUAUGGCGUCAUAUUCUACAAUAUUUAUGCUACUAUUGAGCGCGUUUGUAAAGCUGCAUUGCAUUUGUUCACAAUCGCUGGAGGAUUCCUAUAUAUGGGGGCUGGAGCCGCCAAAAGCCAAAAAUUAUUCAAUGCUAGAAGGAGUUCCCUUGGUUGUGGUGUUUGUGUUCAUUUCAAUAUGUGUUCUCUGGUUCGUAGUAUUUAUAUCUUUGUGUUGUUCAAAUGUGUGUUGCCAUAGGCAAAUGCCACGCAGAAACGGCGUAACUGUGGUUAUAAUAGAGAACUGAGCAUUCAUUUAGUACAGAUUGUGAAAUUAUAACCUUAGAUUUAAUAUGUGUACAUUUUUUUAUAAAUAUUUAUAAAUUAAUAUAAACUAAAUUUGUAAUUAAAAUAGAACAUUUUAUAUAAAAUACUGUUGCAAUUUAAUCAAUAUUUUUUGGAACAA